UUAAUCCUCAUAGAUCUUGUAUUUGUUUGCAUGUUUCUCUCUCUCCAGUCCCCCCACAUUCUCAGAUUUGUUUGUGCAGGUAUUGGUUUAUCCAUGCCAUAAGGUGUUUGACAAAAAUCCUACAAGAAAAGUCUGAUAUUGCUCUGUUAUUUAGGAUUCAAUUUUUUCUGAAAUUUAGCAGUGAACAAUGGCUAUACUUCUGUGUUUUGUUUUUUCAUUGAAACUAAUUUUGGAUUUAUGUCUUGCUGAGUAAUGUAUACACUUUCAUUGCUUUGAUUAUAUUUUAAAUUUGCAGGGAAUUACGAAAUUAUUAUUGCUGGAUUUUACCUAAUGUCGUAAGCCAGAGGUUUGAGGGAUAGAUCUCAACUACUCAUCCCAAAGUUAAGCCAGACCUACAUCAUUUAGUUCUUGAUGGUUUUUCUGUAGGAUUUUUUAUUAAUAGCAAUUCAGAGAAAACUUCAUACAUUUAUUGCUGCAUUGGUAGAUUCCUUUUAGGUAAAAAUAAAAAGGUAUUUUUUUCAUUUAUAUAGUUGAUUGAAAUAAUGGCGAAUGGUAACAUUGUGGUAUUGUCAAAUUCUGGAUAAAAAUCUUGAGGAUACACAUUUUAGAUUUAUAAUGUCUUGCUCUAUUACAUGCAGGUAUGAGAACCGGGAUGCGAAAUUCAGAAAUUAAGAGCAACACAAUAGAGGAGGAGCAGCUGCAAAUGGCUAACUGUGAUGAGGAGGGACCAGCGGAAAGUUGCUCGUCAUCAUCAACAUCCACCACCGUAGCUGCUAUGAGGCAUUGAGCUGAUCUAGAUUACUGACAUUGAAAAUGAAAUGGUCAUCGCAUUAGAGAUUAUCACUUGGGGUGAGCUCAUUUGUUC